CUCUAAUGCUAUUUCUAGUUUCUACUUGCUAUUUUAUUCUAUGGAUGUAAACUUUUACAGUUAAACAUUAAAGUUGUUUCCAAAAAUUGUAAUAAAAAUUUUUACGCACAUAUCUUUUCUAUAUUAUCUACUUAGAUUUGAUUUGUGCAAUGAGGUAUUUAUAUACAUAUGUAAGUUUAGAGUUUAAUCAUACAAAUAUAUUUUAGAAUGUUCUCUUGUUUAUAUGGAUGUGUCUCUUGGAACACUGACAAAAAUGGGACCUGAUGAAUCAUGUCUUCCAAUUCUGUAGCUGAGAUGAAAAUAAUACUUUUUUUUUUAGAUUUCUGGUGCUGAUUUGCAAGUGAGUCAUUUAUGUAGGAUUGUUUAACAUCAGUGGCAGAGAGACUUGCUUUUUCACUCUGGUCAAGAAUUGAAAAGGGAUUAUUACGAAGAGAUAUUGAAGUGUGAGUCUUCGAGUCUUGGCAAAGGAAGAAGCCAAGAGAACCUUUACUGUAUGGAAGGUGAACGUUCUUGGCUGUGAUGGAAGUAACUCGGCACCUACAUGCGGCUCAUUCUUUCCACCUCAUACACUGAAAAGACUUCCCAGGAAGAGCUGCCAAGACAUCCAAGGUCCGUGUGGCCUCCGUGAGCAACACUCAAGACACUUUGUGGAAGGCAUUCUUGGCCUUCAUGUAGCACUCUCAAAAGAUAAGAUAUAUUCUAUCCCUCUUCCCACCCUCACACCCCCUAUCCUCCAUUGCCAGUUUUCUUUAUUGACCUAUUAAAUAGUCACCAUCUGUCUAAAAGUGUCUUGAAGAUGUCCUUUUUGCAUUUUAUGCCUUGCUACUCAAAGUGUGGUCUGUGGACCAAAAGCAGCAUCAGUGUCACUGGGAACUUGUAAGAAAUUCAGUUCUUGGGCCUCACACCAGGGCUACUCAACCAGAAUCCACGUUUUAAUAAAAUUCUCAAGUGAUUUGUAUGCA
rnacentral:lncRNA from 1 species